GACGAACGCUUUCGGCGUGCUUAACACAUGCAAGUCGAGCGGAAAGGCCCUGCUUUUGUGGGGUGCUCGAGUGGCGAACGGGUGAGUAACACGUGAGUAACCUGCCCUUGACUUUGGGAUAACUUCAGGAAACUGGGGCUAAUACCGGAUAGGAGCUCCUGCUGCAUGGUGGGGGUUGGAAAGUUUCGGCGGUUGGGGAUGGACUCGCGGCUUAUCAGCUUGUUGGUGGGGUAGUGGCUUACCAAGGCUUUGACGGGUAGCCGGCCUGAGAGGGUGACCGGCCACAUUGGGACUGAGAUACGGCCCAGACUCCUACGGGAGGCAGCAGUGGGGAAUAUUGCACAAUGGGCGGAAGCCUGAUGCAGCAACGCCGCGUGCGGGAUGACGGCCUUCGGGUUGUAAACCGCUUUCGCCUGUGACGAAGCGUGAGUGACGGUAAUGGGUAAAGAAGCACCGGCUAACUACGUGCCAGCAGCCGCGGUGAUACGUAGGGUGCGAGCGUUGUCCGGAUUUAUUGGGCGUAAAGGGCUCGUAGGUGGUUGAUCGCGUCGGAAGUGUAAUCUUGGGGCUUAACCCUGAGCGUGCUUUCGAUACGGGUUGACUUGAGGAAGGUAGGGGAGAAUGGAAUUCCUGGUGGAGCGGUGGAAUGCGCAGAUAUCAGGAGGAACACCAGUGGCGAAGGCGGUUCUCUGGGCCUUUCCUGACGCUGAGGAGCGAAAGCGUGGGGAGCGAACAGGCUUAGAUACCCUGGUAGUCCACGCUGUAAACGGUGGGUACUAGGUGUGGGGUCCAUUCCACGGGUUCCGUGCCGUAGCUAACGCUUUAAGUACCCCGCCUGGGGAGUACGGCCGCAAGGCUAAAACUCAAAGGAAUUGACGGGGCCCCGCACAAGCGGCGGAGCAUGCGGAUUAAUUCGAUGCAACGCGUAGAACCUUACCUGGGUUUGACAUGGAUCGGGAGUGCUCAGAGAUGGGUGUGCCUCUUUUGGGGUCGGUUCACAGGUGGUGCAUGGCUGUCGUCAGCUCGUGUCGUGAGAUGUUGGGUUAAGUCCCGCAACGAGCGCAACCCUUGUUCACUGUUGCCAGCACGUUAUGGUGGGGACUCAGUGGAGACCGCCGGGGUCAACUCGGAGGAAGGUGGGGAUGACGUCAAGUCAUCAUGCCCCUUAUGUCCAGGGCUUCACGCAUGCUACAAUGGCUGGUACAGAGAGUGGCGAGCCUGUGAGGGUGAGCGAAUCUCGGAAAGUCGGUCUCAGUUCGGAUUGGGGUCUGCAACUCGACCUCAUGAAGUCGGAGUCGCUAGUAAUCGCAGAUCAGCAACGCUGCGGUGAAUACGUUCCCGGGGCU
rnacentral:rRNA from 1 species